rnacentral:rRNA from 1 species
AUUGAACGCUGGCGGCAGGCCUAACACAUGCAAGUCGAACGAGUGGCGGACGGGUGAGUAAUGUCUGGGAAACUGCCCGAUGGAGGGGGAUAACUACUGGAAACGGUAGCUAAUACCGCAUACCAUCGGAUGUGCCCAGAUGGGAUUAGCUGGUAGGUGGGGUAACGGCUUACCUAGGCGACGAUCCCUAGCUGGUCUGAGAGGAUGACCGGCCACCCGGGAACUGGGACACGGUCCAGAGUCCUACGGGAGGCAGCAGUGGGGAAUAGUGGACAAUGGGGGCAAGCCUGAUGCAGACAUGCCGCGUGUAUGAAGAAGGCCUUCGGGUUGUAAAGUACUUUCAGUGGGGAGGCGUUACCCGCAGAAGAAGCACCGGCUAACUCCGUGCCAGCAGCCGCGGUAAUUC